rnacentral:lncRNA from 7 species
AUAAAUUGGCCUCCUGACAGCAAAAACAUUGCAAGGCCACGUAUACAGACUCACUGCUCAGACAGCAGUGCAGGGAAUGCAGCUGCCAGGAAGAGAAGGUGGAGGUAUGGAGAUUCUUUCUGUAGUUGCGACUGUCUGUGCUACUCUAUAGCAGAGCUUCCUCCCAUCUCUAGUUUAACUGGAGCUACUGGAAGCAAACUGUGGAGUUUAUCAGAAGAUGAGUUUCAUCGGCAUUCCUGUCAGAUGCAGAACCACGUUCAGGUCAAUUUUGGAAAUCUCCAAGAAGACCACACAGCCUCUGGGCAACCUGUGCCAGUGCUCAUCUGCUGAAACAGCAUAGAAUUGCUCCUGGUG